rnacentral:rRNA from 1 species
AUGAACGCUGGCGGCGUGCUUAACACAUGCAAGUCGAACGAAGCACUUUAUUUGAUUUCCUUCGGGACUGAUUAUUUUGUGACUGAGUGGCGGACGGGUGAGUAACGCGUGGGUAACCUGCCUUGUACAGGGGGAUAACAGUUGGAAACGGCUGCUAAUACCGCAUAAGCGCACAGCAUCGCAUGAUGCAGUGUGAAAAACUCCGGUGGUAUAAGAUGGACCCGCGUUGGAUUAGCUAGUUGGUGAGGUAACGGCCCACCAAGGCGACGAUCCAUAGCCGACCGGAGAGGGUGACCGGCCACAUUGGGACUGAGACACGGCCCAAACUCCUACGGGAGGCAGCAGUGGGGAAUAUUGCACAAUGGGCGAAAGCCUGAUGCAGCGACGCCGCGUGAGCGAAGAAGUAUUUCGGUAUGUAAAGCUCUAUCAGCAGGGAAGAUAAUGACGGUACCUGACUAAGAAGCACCGGCUAAAUACGUG